rnacentral:lncRNA from 1 species
UAUAUUUAACAGGUAGUUAACAUGAUGAAAGGAGGCAAAAGAUACGCAAAUAUGGAGCAAGAUGGUAACUGGUUUGCUCAUGGUGGUGAAAAGUCAACAAUGUUUACGAGCACAGGAACCAUGAUGGCUCAAGGAGUGCUCCAGCCUGUGCCACAUGCAGCAGAAAGAUAUCCAAAACUAAACCCUGAAAAGAAAACCAUGGGAAGAGACUACCCUUUUUCAGCGCAUGAUAACCGGGCAACACUGCAGAAUAAAAUUGAAACAUAUGAUCAUGUUUUGGGUCGGAAGAAGUGUCUUGAUGACCACAGGCAGCAUAGCUCUCAUUUUUGCCUUUGUCAUGAUAGCAGUGUGUGUGCAGUGGGACUGACGCCGAGAGCUCAUUCUGCCUAUCAGUCUGACUUUGUUCCAAGGCAGGGAGCAGAGAGUGAGGAGGGCACACACAGAAGGCGCUUUCCCAGGAGUCAUCUGGAGCGGUCUCAGCAGGCUGUUAAUGCUGGGGAACGUUACAUGUGGUUUGGAAGGCAUGAUCUCGACCACCACACACCUCUUAAUGUAUUAGCAGAUUCAAACCAUUCCUCACCACUAUAACUGACAUGAUGCAGUUCCUGCAGAAAGUAUUAAAGCAGUCUU